UGCCAACCGGGUGUCUGCACUAAGUUCGGCAUCAAUAUGGUGACCUCCUGGGAGCAGGGGGCCACCAGGUUGCCUAAGGAUGAAUGAACUGGCCCAGAUCAGAAAGGGAGCAGGUCAGGACUCCCGCACCGACUGGUAGUGGGACUGUGCCUGGGCA
rnacentral:SRP_RNA from 1 species